GGGUAGAUGUCCGAGCGGUUUAAGGAGCACGCCUGGAACGCGUGUAAGGUGCAAGCCUUCGUGGGUUCAAAUCCCACUUUACCCGCCA
rnacentral:tRNA from 1 species